CCACGCCGGGAAAUCUGGGUGAACUUUCUCGGCCAAUGCAGGGAUCGAACACCCGACCUCCAGGCUAGCGAGCCAGCGUCUUACCCACUUAGCCACCAUGACGACUAGGCAUGGAAUCCAUGCUGAAAAAUUCAAAUGAGCUUUCUCGGUCAACACUGGGAGCGAACCCGCAACCUCCCGGGUACCAAGCCAGUGCCUUACACACUAAGCCACAUGACUCUCUUCUAAUUACUGUGACAGUCCAGUCACAUGACAAACAAGGGUUAUUAAAACAGAUUUUCAAGGCUUGGGUAAGAUCUUCGGGAUUCAAAUGGUUUUAGAUAUCACACAGUUUGUAUAUGGUAAGGUAUCUUAAACAGUUAAUUACAUGUCACAUAUUCAUAUUUUUCAGUUUCCAUAUUAGAUGCCAUAGCAAAUCAAAGAUCAUAUAAUAAAAUAAGUCAAAAAACCCAAAUAUGGGAAAAGAAAGAGCUGAAGAAAUGGUGAUUUGAGCACCUAUGAUUUCUCAUAGGUGUUUUUGGAGGUUAACUACAUCAGAAAGAUCAAGACAGUUGGAAAUGGCUAUUCAUAUUAUGGAAACUUUUUCUCACAGAGCUUGAUAAUCAGGUAAAAUGCUGGAAGAUUAUUUGAUGUAUGAUAACAACAAGAGAUCCCAAGCAUCAAUUUAUUUUAUAAUUCUGGAAAAGAAUGCAUU